rnacentral:rRNA from 1 species
GGUUAAGCGACUAAGCGUACACGGUGGAUGCCCUGGCAGUCAGAGGCGAUGAAGGACGUGCUAAUCUGCGAAAAGCGUCGGUAAGGUGAUAUGAACCGUUAUAACCGGCGAUGUCCGAAUGGGGAAACCCAGUGCAAUUCGUUGCACUAUCGUUAACUGAAUACAUAGGUUAACGAGGCGAACCGGGGGAACUGAAACAUCUAAGUACCCCGAGGAAAAGAAAUCAACCGAGAUUCCCCCAGUAGCGGCGAGCGAACGGGGAGCAGCCCAGAGUCUGAAUCAGCUUGUGUGUUAGUGGAACGGUCUGGAAAGUCCGACGGUACAGGGUGAUAGUCCCGUACACCAAAAUGCACAGGCUGUGAACUCGAAGAGUAGGGCGGGACACGUGGUAUCCUGUCUGAAUAUGGGGGGACCAUCCUCCAAGGCUAAAUACUCCUGACUGACCGAUAGUGAACCAGUACCGUGAGGGAAAGGCGAAAAGAACCCCGGCGAGGGGAGUGAAAAAGAACCUGAAACCGUGUACGUACAAGCAGUGGGAGCACCUUCGGGUGUGACUGCGUACCUUUUGUAUAAUGGGUCAGCGACUUAUAUUCUGUAGCAAGGUUAACCGUAUAGGGGAGCCGCAGGGAAACCGAGUCUUAACUGGGCGUUAAGUUGCAGGGUAUAGACCCGAAACCCGGUGAUCUAGCCAUGGGCAGGUUGAAGGUUGGGUAACACUAACUGGAGGACCGAACCGACUAAUGUUGAAAAAUUAGCGGAUGACUUGUGGCUGGGGGUGAAAGGCCAAUCAAACCGGGAGAUAGCUGGUUCUCCCCGAAAGCUAUUUAGGUAGCGCCUCGUGAAUUCAUCUUCGGGGGUAGAGCACUGUUUCGGCUAGGGGGUCAUCCCGACUUACCAACCCGAUGCAAACUACGAAUACCGAAGAAUGUUAUCACGGGAGACACACGGCGGGUGCUAACGUCCGUCGUGAAGAGGGAAACAACCCAGACCGCCAGCUAAGGUCCCAAAGUCAUGGUUAAGUGGGAAACGAUGUGGGAAGGCACAGACAGCCAGGAUGUUGGCUUAGAAGCAGCCAUCAUUUAAAGAAAGCGUAAUAGCUCACUGGUCGAGUCGGCCUGCGCGGAAGAUGUAACGGGGCUAAACCAUGCACCGAAGCUGCGGCAGCGACACUAUGUGUUGUUGGGUAGGGGAGCGUUCUGUAAGCCUGCGAAGGUGACCUGUGAGGGUUGCUGGAGGUAUCAGAAGUGCGAAUGCUGACAUAAGUAACGAUAAAGCGGGUGAAAAGCCCGCUCGCCGGAAGACCAAGGGUUCCUGUCCAACGUUAAUCGGGGCAGGGUGAGUCGACCCCUAAGGCGAGGCCGAAAGGCGUAGUCGAUGGGAAACAGGUUAAUAUUCCUGUACUUGGUGUUACUGCGAAGGGGGGACGGAGAAGGCUAUGUUAGCCGGGCGACGGUUGUCCCGGUUUAAGCAUGUAGGCUGAUUGUCCAGGCAAAUCCGGAUAAUCAAGGCUGAGGUGUGAUGACGAGGCACUACGGUGCUGAAGUAACAAAUGCCCUGCUUCCAGGAAAAGCCUCUAAGCAUCAGGUAACAUUAAAUCGUACCCCAAACCGACACAGGUGGUCAGGUAGAGAAUACCAAGGCGCUUGAGAGAACUCGGGUGAAGGAACUAGGCAAAAUGGUGCCGUAACUUCGGGAGAAGGCACGCUGGUGUGUAGGUGAAGUCCCUGCGGAUGGAGCUGAGACCAGUCGAAGAUACCAGCUGGCUGCAACUGUUUAUUAAAAACACAGCACUGUGCAAACACGAAAGUGGACGUAUACGGUGUGACGCCUGCCCGGUGCCGGAAGGUUAAUUGAUGGGGUUAUCCGUAAGGAGAAGCUCUUGAUCGAAGCCCCGGUAAACGGCGGCCGUAACUAUAACGGUCCUAAGGUAGCGAAAUUCCUUGUCGGGUAAGUUCCGACCUGCACGAAUGGCGUAAUGAUGGCCAGGCUGUCUCCACCCGAGACUCAGUGAAAUUGAACUCGCUGUGAAGAUGCAGUGUACCCGCGGCAAGACGGAAAGACCCCGUGAACCUUUACUAUAGCUUGACACUGAACAUUGAGCCUUGAUGUGUAGGAUAGGUGGGAGGCUUUGAAGCGUGGACGCCAGUCUGCGUGGAGCCAACCUUGAAAUACCACCCUUUAAUGUUUGAUGUUCUAACGUUGGCCCCUGACCGGGGUUGCGGACAGUGUCUGGUGGGUAGUUUGACUGGGGCGGUCUCCUCCCAAAGCGUAACGGAGGAGCACGAAGGUUAGCUAAUCCUGGUCGGACAUCAGGAGGUUAGUGCAAUGGCAUAAGCUAGCUUGACUGCGAGCGUGACGGCGCGAGCAGGUGCGAAAGCAGGUCAUAGUGAUCCGGUGGUUCUGAAUGGAAGGGCCAUCGCUCAACGGAUAAAAGGUACUCCGGGGAUAACAGGCUGAUACCGCCCAAGAGUUCAUAUCGACGGCGGUGUUUGGCACCUCGAUGUCGGCUCAUCACAUCCUGGGGCUGAAGUAGGUCCCAAGGGUAUGGCUGUUCGCCAUUUAAAGUGGUACGCGAGCUGGGUUUAGAACGUCGUGAGACAGUUCGGUCCCUAUCUGCCGUGGGCGCUGGAGAAUUGAGGGGGGCUGCUCCUAGUACGAGAGGACCGGAGUGGACGCAUCACUGGUGUUCGGGUUGUCAUGCCAAUGGCACUGCCCGGUAGCUAAAUGCGGAAGAGAUAAGUGCUGAAAGCAUCUAAGCACGAAACUUGCCCCGAGAUGAGUUCUCCCUGAGACUUUAAGUCUCCUGAAGGAACGUUGAAGACGACGACGUUGAUAGGCCGGGUGUGUAAGCGCAGCGAUGCGUUGAGCUAACCGGUACUAAUGAACCGUGAGGCUUAACCUU